UACCAGACUCCUACGGGAGGCAGCAGUGAGGAAUAUUGGUCAAUGGUCGGGAGACUGAACCAGCCAAGCCGCGUGAGGGAGGAAGGUACAGAGUAUCGUAAACCUCUUUUGUCAGGGGACAAAGACUGGGACGCGUCCCCGGAUGAGUGUACCUGAAGAAAAAGCAUCGGCUAACUCCGUGCCAGCAGCCGCGGUAAUACGGAGGAUGCGAGCGUUAUCCGGAUUCAUUGGGUUUAAAGGGUGCGCAGGCGGGCCCUUUAGCCGGGGGGGAAAGUCGGGGGGCCAACCCCCGCCGAGCCGUCGGAACUGCCGGGCUAGAGUGGGCGAGAAGUGCGCGGAAUGCGUGGUGUAGCGGUGAAAUGCAUGGAUAUCACGCAGAACUCCGAUUGCGAAGGCAGCGCACCGGCGCCCUACUGACGCUGAGGCACGAAAGCGUGGGUAUCGAACAGGAUUAGAUACCCGUGUA
rnacentral:rRNA from 1 species